GAGACAGCAGCAGCCACGGUAAUACAGAGGGUGCGAGCGUUAAUCGGAUUUACUGGGCGUAAAGCGUGCGUAGGCGGCUUCUUAAGUCGGAUGUGAAAUCCCUGAGCUUAACUUAGGAAUUGCAUUCGAUACUGGGAAGCUAGAGUAUGGGAGAGGAUGGUAGAAUUCCAGGUGUAGCGGUGAAAUGCGUAGAGAUCUGGAGGAAUACCGAUGGCGAAGGCAGCCAUCUGGCCUAAUACUGACGCUGAGGUACGAAAGCAUGGGGAGCAAACAGGAUUAGAUACCCCCGUAGUCCCUGUCUCUUAUAA
rnacentral:rRNA from 1 species